rnacentral:rRNA from 1 species
UUACCUACGGGAGGCAGCAGUGGGGGAUAUUGGACAAUGGGGGGAACCCUGAUCCAGCGACGCCGCGUGAGUGAAGAAGUAUUUCGGUAUGUAAAGCUCUGUCAGCAGGGAAGAAAGCAAUGACGGUACCUGACCAAGAAGCCCCGGCUAACUACGUGCCAGCAGCCGCGGUAAUACGUAGGGGGCAAGCGUUAUCCGGAAUUACUGGGUGUAAAGGGAGCGUAGACGGCUGUGCAAGUCUGGAGUGAAAGGAGGGUGAACAAA